GUGCUUGCUUCAGUAGCACAUACACUAAAACUGGAACAAUACAGAAAACAUUAGCAAGGCCCCUGUGCAAGGAUGACACGGAAAUUCAUGAAGUGUUCCCUAUUUUU